UACCAUCCCCCGCCGCGGCCACUAUCCUCAACCGAAUACGGAAAAUAGUGAUGCACCCACGCAUUACAGCAGAGUACGCAAAAGGAUGCAAGCUAGGAAUCGACAAAGUAAACCACAUGCAGGAUGCUUAGAUAGAAAAUGUAAAAGGGUGUACAGAGUAAAAAAAAAGGAGGUCGGGAGGUACCAACUCCCGAUGAAAAAACAUGGAAGUAUGCUUUGAUUCGUCCGAGAUCAACUACUGCUAGCUCUUGCACACUUCCUCCGGUGUUGCUUUGCUCUUCGCAUCCAAAUGUCGUAAGCUCUCCUUGUCCGCCGUGGCUUUUACCUGAAAAUCACGCACAAAAAAAAGCGAAGGGGGCUGCCUAGCUCGGAAAAGGGGAAGGAGUUGCCUUACAGGGGGUCGCCUGAGAAUGGGGGUCGCCGGAGUUAGGGUUGAUAGGUGGGUAGGGGGUGAGGCUGGGUAGUGGAG
rnacentral:lncRNA from 1 species